CACGUAGGGCGCAAGCGUUGUCCGGAAUUAUUGGGCGUAAAGAGCUCGUAGGCGGUCCGUCACGUCCGCUGUGAAAACCCAGGGCUCAACCCUGGGCUUGCAGUGGAUACGGGCAGACUAGAGGUAGGUAGGGGAGAAUGGAAUUCCCGGUGUAGCGGUGAAAUGCGCAGAUAUCGGGAGGAACACCGGUGGCUAAGGCGGCUCUCUAGUACGGUACUGACGCUGAGACGCGAAAGCGUGGGGAGCGAACAGG
rnacentral:rRNA from 1 species